rnacentral:rRNA from 1 species
GAUGAACGCUGGCGGCGUGCUUAACACAUGCAAGUCGAACGGAAAGGCGUGGUUCUUGUGGCGUACGCGUGAGGCGAGCGGGAGAGUAUCACGUGGGGAACCGGACCAUAACUGGGGGAGAACUCUAGGAAACUGGGGGUAAUACAGGAUAGGAACUAAUGCGCCAGGGGGGGGGCUGGAGAGUUUCGGGGUUGGUGGAUGGGCAGGCGGCUUAUGAGCCGGUGGGUGGGGGAGGGGCAGACAAGGGCUUUGACGGGUAGCCGGCUGUGGAGGGUGACCGGCCACAUUGGGACUGAGAGACGGCGCAGAAUCCUACUGGAGGCAGCAGUGGGGAGUAUUGCACAGUGAGCGGAGGCCUGAUGCAGCAGCGCCGCGUGCUGGAUGUCGACCUUCGAGUGGUAAACAGCUUUCGCCUGUGACGAAGCGGCAGUGACGGUAAUUGGUAAAGAAGCACCGGCUAACUACGUG